rnacentral:tRNA from 1 species
GCCUGGGUGGCGGAAUCGGUAGACGCAGUGGAUUCAAAAUCCACCGGUGGGCAACCCCGUGUGAGUUCGAGUCUCACCCUAGGCACCA